rnacentral:rRNA from 1 species
GACGAACGCUGGCGGCGUGCUUAACACAUGCAAGUCGAACGGAAAGGCCCUGCUUUUGUGGGGUGCUCGAGUGGCGAACGGGUGAGUAACACGUGAGUAACCUGCCCUUGACUUUGGGAUAACUUCAGGAAACUGGGGCUAAUACCGGAUAGGAGCUCCUGCUGCAUGGUGGGGGUUGGAAAGUUUCGGCGGUUGGGGAUGGACUCGCGGCUUAUCAGCUUGUUGGUGGGGUAGUGGCUUACCAAGGCUUUGACGGGUAGCCGGCCGGGGAGGGUGACCGGCCCCAUUGGGACUGGAGAACGGCCCCAGCCCCAACGGGGGGCAGCAGGGGGGAAUAUUGCACAAUGGGCGGAAGCCUGAUGCAGCAACGCCGCGUGCGGGAUGACGGCCUUCGGGUUGUAAACCGCUUUCGCCUGUGACGAAGCGUGAGUGACGGUAAUGGGUAAAGAAGCACCGGCUAACUACGUG